GAUGAACGCUAGCGGCAGGCCUAAUACAUGCAAGUCGAACGAUACCAGAGAGCUUGCUUUCUGGGAAAGUGGCGCACGGGUGCGUAACGCGUAUGCAACCUACCUUAAUCAGGGGGAUAGCCUCUCGAAAGAGAGAUUAACACCGCAUAAAAUCACAAGCUGGCAUCAGCAAAUGAUCAAAUAUUUAUAGGAUUAAGAUGGGCAUGCGUGACAUUAGUUUGUUGGUGAGGUAACGGCUCACCAAGACUACGAUGUCUAGGGGAUCUGAGAGGAUGACCCCCCACACUGGUACUGAGACACGGACCAGACUCCUACGGGAGGCAGCAGUAAGGAAUAUUGGUCAAUGGGGGCAACCCUGAACCAGCCAUGCCGCGUGCAGGAAGACGGCCCUACGGGUUGUAAACUGCUUUUAUACGGGAAUAAACCUCUUUACGUGUAAAGAGUUGAAUGUACUGUAAGAAUAAGGAUCGGCUAACUCCGUGCCAGCAGCCGCGGUAAUACGGAGGAUCCAAGCGUUAUCCGGAUUUAUUGGGUUUAAAGGGUGCGUAGGCGGCCUAUUAAGUCAGGGGUGAAAGACGGUGGCUCAACCAUCGCAGUGCCCUUGAUACUGAUGGGCUUGAUUACACUUGAGGUAGGCGGAAUGUGACAAGUAGCGGUGAAAUGCAUAGAUAUGUCACAGAACACCAAUUGCGAAGGCAGCUUACUAAGGUGUUAAUGACGCUGAGGCACGAAAGCGUGGGGAUCAAACAGGAUUAGAUACCCUGGUAGUCCACGCCCUAAACGAUGAAUACUCGAUGUUAGCGAUAUACAGUUAGCGUCAAAGCGAAAGCGUUAAGUAUUCCACCUGGGGAGUACGCCCGCAAGGGUG
rnacentral:rRNA from 1 species